rnacentral:lncRNA from 1 species
CUUCCCCGGUGAUUCCCUGCAGUGGCCAACAGCUUCAGGGCCUGCCCUGGCCCCGGUGGGUAACGCCCGCCUGCCCGCCAGCCAUUGUCCGGUCAUACCAGGAAGGUUGCUUAGACCAGGGUCAGUCCACCCGCGAGGAUGCAGGCUCUGUGCACCUGCCCUCCUGCUCUUUCGCGUCUUCUGUACUCAGCCCAACCACAUGGCUUCUCCGGUCUGUGCCCGCUGCUUAGCCUCACUCCUGGAAGUUACUUCUCUGCUUCCAUUACUGUGUAAUGUAGCCAACACCAGCGGCUCUGCUGAUGGGCAACCAGGAGGACGUCUGGAGGCAGCGGAUCCACCGAUGACUAUGGAGAGGUAAUUUCUUUGUGAAAUGGGAGGAAUAGCAGGAGAACACUAGUGUGCUUUCUCUUUCUCUCCUGCACUUUGAAUUUGCUGUCGUACCCCCGACGGCACCGAGGUGCCCGUCUGCCUCACGCUUGUGCCACUGUGGCAACUAAUGGGGGAUUUGUUGACGAUUAAAAAGCUAAUGUCAAGGGAAAUAAAAAAACUAAUACUCAGAUUCUGGCA